UACGUAGGGACCGAGCGUUGUCCGGAAUCAUUGGGCGUAAAGAGCGUGUAGGCGGCCUUUUAAGUCCUGCGUGAAAUCCUGCGGCUCAACCGCAGACGGUCGUGGGAAACUGGAAGGCUAGAGUGCGGGAGAGGAGAGUGGAAUUCCCGGUGUAGCGGUGAAAUGCGCAGAUAUCGGGAAGAACACCAGUGGCGAAGGCGGCUCUCUGGAACGCAACUGACGCUGAGACGCGAAAGCGUGGGGAGCAAACAGG
rnacentral:rRNA from 1 species